rnacentral:lncRNA from 1 species
AGACGAGAAAGUUGGCCAUUCCUUUCAGGAACUGUGCCAAAAGGCUUUGUUUGCAUCCAGAGACAUUCCCCCCACAAAUACUGAUCUUUUGAGAUGCAGCUGCACCCCACUAACCACAGGUAGCUGCUUCUGAGUCUGUUUCUAAUACCACGUUUUCUAGGCUCAGAUUUACUUGGCCUUGCCCAGGAACAAGCUUUCCAUGACACUGGAUUCAUCACUCAGCUGCAACAUGUUUACCUUGCUGUCAGCAGAAGACUGUGAAGUAAGAUUACUUAGCUGUUAAAGAAGUAGACUGAAGACACUAAUGAAGAGGACUUUGCAAACCCACAGAUGGUAAGAGUGAUGCUUGCUUGAGAAAAAUAUGUUCUACCUGAACAAUACAAGGAAGCUAUAAAAGUCUGUGGAUCUGGACCCCAAGGCUUGGAAAAUCCUGUGCUCUAAUGUUGCAGUAUUAUGGAAACUCUCUAACCAUUCACCUUAGAAGGCACACAGAGGUUUCAGUGACCCC